GGUCCGGUCCGCUUUUUAGGGACAACCACAUUAAUUUAGUGACGAUACUGACGAAUUCAAUGGCGCCGGCUAAAAAAACUAAAGCUAGCUUGUGGCAGCAGUCUAAAGUGCAGAGGGGGAAGUUGGAAUUGUGGCCUGCUAGCUGCAAAGACGAGCGAUCCGUUGUUCCUAAGCCCCAAUUAUUGAGAGUUGGAACAUAGAUAAGACUACUUGAAGAAAGAGCUGGAGUUAUUAGGCACCCCUCGACGCGGAACGCACCAGCUGAGGCUCCAAGCUCACAAUGAAGUCUUUGAUUCCUAAAUUGGUAGAGAACUUCACUACUUACAAGCCAUUGCUCGCUUCCAAUGAGUAUGAUCUGAUCAUUUUUGAUCUGGAAGAGAAGAUUAAGGAGCUGCUUCCAUUACAGGCCAAGCUACGCUCAAUGAGGGAGGAGUAUGAACAAAAA